rnacentral:tRNA from 3 species
GGCUCUGUAGUUCAACGGAUAGAAUAGUGGUUUCCUAAACCAUAGAUAGCAGUUCGAUUCUGCUCGGAGCUA